rnacentral:rRNA from 1 species
GACGAACGCUGGCGGCGUGCUUAACACAUGCAAGUCGAACGAAGUGGCGAACGGGUGAGUAAUACGUGGGUAACCUGCCCUCCUUUUUGGGAUAAGCCUUGGAAACGGGGUCUAAUACCGAAUAAAGGGGGAUGGGAUCGCGGCCUAUCAGCUUGUUGGUGGGGUGAUGGCCUACCAAGGCGGAGACGGGUAGCCGGCCUGAGAGGGUGACCGUGCACAUUGGGACUGGUGUACGGCCCAGACUUCUACGGGAGGCAGCAGUGGGUAAUCUUCCGAAAUGGGCGAAAGUCUGACGGAGCAACGCCGCGUGAGUGAUGACGGCCUUCGGGUUGUAAAGCUCUGUUAAUCGGGACGCGGUACCGGAAUAGGAAGCCACGGCUAACUACGUGCCAGCAGCCGCGGUAAUAC